rnacentral:miRNA from 15 species
GAAGUUCUGUCAUACACUCAGGCU